rnacentral:misc_RNA from 1 species
ACAAAUCCAAAUAUUGUGUGUGUAUGGGGUUUUACUCUAUAUAUAUAACAAAUAUUAAACCGCCAAAAGAUGGAAACGUCUUUUGGUGUUUAUAUAAAUACAUGUUGUGUUGACAAGUGUGAGUGACUUUUAAAAUUAUUGA